CCGAAGAUGAUAUUUUUAGAGCGGGUCAUUCCCGGCAAUAGUGUCUGGUUUGUUACAUAAGGUCAGAUUUCAUGUUUGUAGCGCUCUUUCGCCGCAGCUGGUUGACCGAACAAGUCGGGGCAAGGACAGAAAAAGGAUCUCAAAGCUGAUGCUAGAUGUUCGCCCAGUCUGGAUUUCAUGGAGAUGCCUGAAGAGGUUGAGUCUGGCUCUCCCCCGUCCAUUAUCCAGCUCGCCCUGCGUCAAAACGCCCAGCAGAGUCGAUUUGCCCGAGUCCACGUUACCGAUGACGGCGACUCGCAGGUCCAGGAACUGCAAGAAGAAACGCAAAGAAAUGCAACAUUUUUAAAAAAAGACAAUCGACGCGAGUUCUUGUGUCUUAAUGGUUGCCGUGCUAACCUGCUGGUCAUCUGGCACCUUUCGUAUCAGCGCUUCGGCGAUGGUGAGAGGCCGAUCGGUGUCGUAGUCCACCUCUGCGUGUCGGAGGAUGGUGAUGUCAGCCCCAACUCUGUCAGCCAAAAAUCAUUUUGGGUGUCAAAUCAACAUGUAUCAAGUGCUUUGCACGUGUGGCCGGGUUCACUGUGAAGCUCACUUCUCAGCCAUCUUAUGAAGGGUGGUGAGGGACGCCUUCAUUUCGUCCUCCGACAGGCCCACCAACAUGCCGUUAUCCUCCACCCCGAUCUGGUAGACAGCUUCUCCGCGACCCUCCUGGAGCCGCCAUUUCAUUUGCGUCACCAGGUGCUCGAAUCGACUCGGCGUAGGGUCCACGAGCUUUAGCUAUGCAGCGGGUGAAAAGAUCACAGAAAUCAACCGAUGAUAUCCUGACGCUAACACCGCCAGUGAUAAUCCACGCCGGUGUCAGAUUUCUACAUACGAGACGGAUGGAAAGGACUGGUUGACCUACAAAUGUUCUUUUGGCCGAUGAUGUUGUGAGAUUCUCUUUUACGGUUGAACUCAAAUGGGAUUGCAACGAAUAUUCAAACUCUUCUUGACUGUGAGCCACAUAUGGUAAUCGCUAGCCUAGCCAUUAAAUCUAAUUUAGGAACAAAUAGUGGAGUCAUCUUUAGGGGCAGGGUGAAACAGGAACACAUUGCAAUACCUAUUCAUUUCAUUGAAUGUGGCUGUAAAGCUCAACAAACCUUACGCGAUAAAAUAAGACCACACCUAACGCACCAUGCAAUGCUAUAAAAGCUAAUUACCUAAGAAUAUUGAUUAAAUAAACCAUUCUGACAGUG